UCGACUCGGUAUCGACGGCAGUGCCAGCAGAAACUGGCAAUGGAGGCGGCCUGACAGUAGUCAGCAUGGCGUUAGCCACGAGCAGCUCAGAGAGCUGGGGAGCCUCGUAAGAACUCAACAUUUCGCCGCCCCGAUGCACAGAUACCAGUCG
rfam:Klebsiella pneumoniae IS43, WGS project CBWK01000000 data, contig: c23